rnacentral:tRNA from 1 species
GGUCUGUGGCUCAGUGAUAGAACACUUGCCUAGCAUGUGUGAGGCACUGAGUUCGAUCCUCAGCACCA